rnacentral:rRNA from 1 species
UAUUGGACAAUGGGGGCAAGCCGGAUCCAGCCAUGCCGCGUGUGUGAAGAAGGUCUUCGGAUUGUAAAGCUUUUUAAUUUGGGAGGAAGGGUUUUAGGCUAAUACCCUUAAGUAUUGACGUUACCAACCGAAUAAGCAUAGGCUCACUCUGUCCCAGUAGCCGCGGUAAUCCAGAGGGUUCAAGCGUUAAUCGGAAUUACUGGGCGUAAAGCGCGCGUAGGUGGUUCAGUAAGAUGGGUGUGAAAUCCCCGGGCUUAACCUGGGAACUGCUUUCAUAACUGCUGAGCUAGAGUACGGUAGAGGGUAGUGGAAUUUCCUGUGUAGCGGUGAAAUGCGUAGAUAUAGGAAGGAACAUCAGUGGCGAAGGCGACUACCUGGACUGAUACUGACACUGAGGUGCGAAAGCGUGGGGAGCAAACA